UAGGCUGUCAUUGUAAAUAAUUAUUUGUUCUUAAAUGACUUGCCUAGUUAAAUAACGUUUUUUAUUUUUUUUUGUGUCCUCCAGGACCCCACACUCUCUUGGUCAUAGGAGUCGAUGAUUCAUCAUAUGACUCCAUAUAACACUUUUGUGUUUUAGCCAAAUGAAAAGGACAGGUACUCAAAUUUCAAGAAGAGGUGGAGGGCAGUACCAGCAGCAAUAAGGAGAACAGGGAGCAAUCAGUUGUUUCCUCCAGAAAUGUGUGGAUCAAUGCCAAUAAGAAGAGCAGGGAGCCAUCGGUUGCUUCCUCCAGAAAUGAGUGGAGAUGGCAGAUCUGAUACCCUCUUCUCUUGGAAGCUCUGGAUACAGCUCCCACACAACUACCAGCAUCUGACCACUGGUUUGGAUCACAUAGUUCUGGAACCCUGCCCCUUGAAUCUAGAAUGGUCUCUCUGACUUCCAUCUGAGUGUCUGACUUCAGAGGCCAAAGAGGAUUCAAGGAGAAGCCGUGGAGUACUGCGGGUCACUCUGAUGUCACUCCAUACAUUGGGACAUGACAUAAUAAAGAUAGAUUACAUCUGACACUUAACAGAACUGAUGGAAAAGUUUGAGAAUUACAUGCAAAAAUUCACUAACAGAUGAUCAACGUGAUACGUUGUAAACUCUUUAUUAUUGUGUAGUGUAAUGCUCAUCUAGGGACCAGCACUGAUAAUUAGAAUAAGGUUAAAUGUGAUGGUAAAAUGCAUCUGACUUGUGUAUUAGAUGUUUUAAUAUUGACAUUUCUAGCAGAGGAAUAACAUACUGCAACAAGUGUUAUGCACAGAAUUGAUCAGUGGUAUCAAUAGUUUUCAUAAAAAUCCUUAUUUCAGGAAGCUAGUCUGAUAAGAGGGACCAACUAUGGGCCAUGUUGCAUGACAUAAUGAGGUGUUUGUAGGUGAGAAGUUCAGGCAGAAAUAUAUAUUUUUACGGCUUUAAUUGGCAUUUCAUGUUAUAGUGAAUACUUUGACAGUACCAAUGUGUCAGUAUGCAUCACAUAAUGGUUUCUUUAGGAGAAAUGUAACAGCUACUUAAAUAAGUAAAUCCAACCAAUUUAAGUUCAGAAAAGUAUUAAUGGCUUAAAUUGAAGUUGAAAGGAAUUGGAUGGAAAAACAUAACAUACAUAUUUGCAUCAGGUCUAGAAAUCAUUAAGAACAGAGAAGGUCUAGGUCAUAGGCUAGGACUUAGAGGAAAGAACUAGUGAAACAAAUGGAACUGUGCCACAAUGACUUGUCACCCUUGAUAAGUCAAGUAAGU